AGAGUUUGAUCCUGGCUCAGAACGAACGCUGGCGGCAGGCCUAACACAUGCAAGUCGAGCGCGCCCUUCGGGGUGAGCGGCGGACGGGUGAGUAACGCGUGGGAACGUGCCCUCUUCUGCGGGAUAGCCUCUGGAAACGGAGAGUAAUACCGCAUACGCCCUAUUGGGGAAAGAUUUAUCGGAGGAGGAUCGGCCCGCGUUGGAUUAGGUAGUUGGUGGGGUAACGGCCUACCAAGCCUACGAUCCAUAGCUGGUUUUAGAGGAUGAUCAGCCACACUGGGACUGAGACACGGCCCAGACUCCUACGGGAGGCAGCAGUGGGGAAUCUUAGACAAUGGGGGCAACCCUGAUCUAGCCAUGCCGCGUGAGUGACGAAGGUCUUAGGAUCGUAAAGCUCUUUCGCCUGUGAUGAUAAUGACAGUAGCAGGUAAAGAAACCCCGGCUAACUCCGUGCCAGCAGCCGCGGUAAUACGGAGGGGGUUAGCGUUGUUCGGAAUUACUGGGCGUAAAGCGCACGUAGGCGGACCAUCAAGUUGGGGGUGAAAUCCCGGGGCUCAACCCCGGAACUGCCUUCAAAACUGGUGGUCUGGAGUUCGAGAGAGGUGAGUGGAAUUCCGAGUGUANAGGUGAAAUUCGUANAUAUUCGGAGGAACAUCAGUGGCGAAGGCGGCUCACUGGCUCGAUACUGACGCUGAGGUGCGAAAGUGUGGGGAGCAAACAGGAUUANAUACCCUGGUANUCCACACCGUAAACGAUGAAUGCCANUCGUCGGGCANCAUGCUGUUCGGUGACNCACCUAACGGAUUAANCAUUCCGCCUGGGGAGUAC
rnacentral:rRNA from 1 species